UAUUUCACGUUGAAUUGGUAAAGUAUAUUAUCGGAUGUAACAAAGAGAGGAUCUCACUGGUGGAAGAGAUCUAUACAGAAGUAAUAGAAGUGCGCCAAGGAGUAUGUCCAUCGAAUCAAGUAGAUGAACACGGGUGUUCCCGUUAUUGAACUAGAGUAUGGAAGUACUCGAACUAAAGUUGGGAGCAAUCUCAAACAGAGUGGAACCGCGAAAUUGACCUUUUGCCUCUGUA
rnacentral:ncRNA from 1 species